rnacentral:rRNA from 1 species
AUGGCGACCUCCCUCGACCCCGCGCCGCUGCGCCACCUCGCCUCCGCCCGCCGGUGCGUGCCGCCACCUCACCAGACCCAAGGAGCCUCGCCGCCUUGUGCUGCCGCCUGCGCCGCGUCGCGCGCCGCCACCUCCCCACAAGCUCGCCGCCCCGCCAUGGAAGCCUCGUCGAGCACCGAGCUCCUCUGCGCCCCGCCCGCGUCGCGGCUGCCGCCCCACGCUGCCUCGCGCCCGGAUCCGGCCGAGGGUGCCACCAGGGUCGUGCUGCAGCCCAUCCGCGAGAUCUCUGGCGCCGUGCAGCUGCCAGGGUCCAAGUCGCUCUCCAACCGGAUCCUCGUCCUCUCCGCCCUCUCCGAGGGAACAACGGUGGUGGAUAACCUGUUGAACAGCGAGGAUGUCCACUACAUGCUCGAGGCCCUGGAAGCCCUUGGACUCUCCGUGGAAGCAAAUAAAGUUGCAAAAGGAGCUGUGGUUGUUGGCUGCGGCGGCAGGUUCCCAGUUGAAAAGGACACCAAAGAGGAAGUAAAGCUCUUCUUGGGUAAUGCUGGAACUGCAAUGCGGCCACUGACAGUAGCUGUAGUUCCUGCUGGUGGAAAUGCAACGUUGGAAGAAAAGAAGAAGAUCCGGAGAAGAUCUUAG